AGUAUUUUAGAUAUUGGAAUCUAGUGCACUAUGUACUAACUUCCAGCAACUAAACUCUAAGCGAUCUAGAUUGUUAGUGGCGGACGGGUGAGUAACACGUUGGAACCUACCCCGAAGUGAGGAAUAACUGCCCGAAAGGGUAGCUAAUACCUCAUAGUCUCCGAUUUAUUCGGAGUAAAGAUUUAUCGCUUCGGGGAGGGGCCUGCGUCCGAUUAGCUAGUUGGUGAGGUAAAUGCUCACCAAGGCGACGAUCGGUAGCUGGUUUGAGAGGAUGACCAGUCACACUGGGACUGAGAUACGGCCCAGACUCCUACGGGAGGCAGCAGUAAGGAAUCUUCCACAAUGGGGGGCAACCCUGAUGGAGCAAUACCGCGUGCAGGAUGAAGCGUUUCGGCGUGUAAACUGCUUUUAUCUGUGAUGAUUAUGACAGUAGCAGAAGAAUAAGGAUCGGCUAACUACGUG
rnacentral:rRNA from 1 species